AUUGGCCAACCUUCAGUCCCUUAGAGGAAGUUACUAUCGAGAGCAGCAAAAAUAGAGAUUAGCAACCACGCAGGGGGUUGCAAACACCGCCAUAGCCUUCGACCAGUCAGUGUGUACGACUACUCUUGUCUGCCGAUACGUUCUAGUGUUUGGUACAGUUGACCCCUCCCCCCCCAACCAAAUCUGACACCCCUUCCUGCCAGUACAGGUUAAGUGUGUCGGCUGGUGGGGAGACUCUUGAUGGUGUAGACAUGGAAGAAGAAACAAUCGUGGAAGAGGAAGGAUCGACCAAAAAGUCAGAAACACUAAAGGUAGCUUUUAAUUCGCCUCCCAAGCGCUACAGCGAGAUCUUCAGGGAAUUUGAUAGCCUCGACCUCAGCCUGGCUAUUUCUUCAGAGGAGCUGGAACCUGACUCCCAAUCCAUCCCCGAAUCCAUCUCUACAGAAAGAAGCGAAUCCAUGGAGCAGGACAGCGUGUCUCCUUGUGAAGAUACAUGUCCCAUAGAGAUCUGCGUUGAUCCCACAGAUAUCGAGAACCAAUCAGGUAUAGUAGCAGUAUGUAGAGUUUGUGUGUCUGUGUGUGCAGACGUGCGUGCGUGCAUACAUAUGCUUAUGUUUACCUGUACAUGGGCAUAAAAUCUACACAAAUUAAACCUAUGUCGUUAUGUACGCACCUGAAGGGACAAUAAAGCUCCACUAAUCGAGUUUGAACCGUGCAAAUGAAACUCCAUUAUGGCCCAGUAAGCCCGGGUGUGUGAUGCUUAUGGUUUAACGUGUAUCACUGCAGACAGCCGCGCUGUCAUUGAUGAGAGACAAACGCGUGUGUCUCUCUCUCCCUCAUUUCAUCAAUGACAGCGCUAGUAGUGUGUCUGUCGUCCCCCAGGGCUGGGUUGUAUUCACAUCGUUAGUGGCGUGGACUAAUUGCUCUGUUCUAACAAGAUUAGAGCAGGAGAGGAUAAAAGACUGGGAUUAAAAAACGACAGCUGCUGCUCCCUCCGCUUUUUUUUCCGUCUUUUCUCUCUGGUCAAAAGACGGGUGGUUUGGGAGUUUUUGUCUGUGGAAGUGUGUGUGGAAUUCUGUGUGUGGAAGUGUGUGUGUGUGUGUGGAAGUGUGUGUGUGUGUGUGUGUGUGUGUGUGUGUGUGUGUGUGUGUGUGUGUGUGUGUGUGUGUGUGUGUGUGUGUGUGUGUGUGUGUGUGUGCGUGUGUGUGUGUGUGUGUGUGUGUGUGUGUGUGUGUGUGUGUGUGUGUGUGUGUGUGUGUGGAAUUCUGUGUGUGGAAGUGUGUGUGUGUGUGUGUGUGUGUGUGUGUGUGUGUGUGUGUGUGUGUGUGUGUGUGUGUGUGUGUGUGUGUGUGUGUGUGUGUGUGUGUGUGUGUUUGUGUGUGUGUGUGCGUCUGUGUGUGUGUGUGUGUGUGUGUGUGUGUGUGUGUGUGUGUGUGUGUGUGUGUGUGUGUGUGUGUGUGUGUGUGUGUGUGUGUGUGUGUUUGUCUGGUUGUGUGCAUGUGUGCAUGUGUGUGUGUGUGUGUGUCUGAAGGUGGAGAAAUCAGAGAGGGGAGAUGAAAGAGUGAAUCCAGUGGGGAGUUCUGUGUAGAAUACGUCAGAUAUUGUUGGACCAAAAAGCCUGACUUUGCCUUUUGCCUUUUCCUGUUAGUCGGCAGGCAGUUCCGAUGCCGUGACCCUUAAUAGUCUUUCAUUUGCUGUGGAGGAACAAGAGUAAGAGAAACAGAUCAGUCACACGGAAAUGCAGCACGAUGUUGUAACAACGCUACUUCCAGCAGGCAGUGAAACAUAUACACUCACAACAUUGCUGCCCCCAUCCACAUAGCUUCCUGCUGGGAAACCCAGCUCAGUUGAGCCUCUGUUGCAUGUCAUGAUUCAAAGGGGGUGGGAGGUGCCACAGGGUCAAUAUGCUGCUAUUGGCUGCCAGGCAAGGAGAUCUCUCACCGAGGGUCAGUGUCUCACACACACGUGGUUCAUCUGUUUCUCUGACUCCUAACAUCAACUGACAGCUUUCACAGCCUGCGACACCCACGCACAUGCACGCACACACACACACACACACGCACACACGCACAAGCACACACACGCACACACACACACACACGCACUCACACACACACACACAAGCACACACACGCACACACACACACACACACACACACACACACACACACACAAGCACACACACGCACACACACACACACACACACACACACACUCAGCGUUUGAUCUGUGCUCCAAGUGAUGGAUGGAAAACAAGCUCUCUCCCCUCCUAGUGAUUGACGCCUCACCCGCAACACCGCUGUUACUGGGCUAUAAGCAGCCAUUUUGUCACACACCACAGGAGGUAAAGCCUAGACAGCCCACAAAUCUGGACCUGCACUGGGCUAAUCCCGGAUCCCCAGACCCAUGAGGCUUCUUUGGGACGGGGCAGAAAGCUCUGGGAGGCUGCCUAUUGGGAAUGACGGCCUUGAAUUAAGGUUGAUCUGGAGAUGCACUGGGACCUGAAAGCCAACCUACCGCACAAUCUGGACAUAAAUGGAUUUAUUCCGGAAACUGGACUUUUGUUAGUUGUUGCUUUUCGAUACAAAUAGGAACUUUGAAGUGAGUUGUAUGCUGUGUUCUAAAAGAUAGGGAUCUAAGAAAGAACGGGGACCAAUCACGACCUCGCCUCGUUCGGUAUAGCUACGUAAAGAUGUGGCUUGAUCGCUUGGGAUGGUGAGGCUGAAGCUCAUUAUACUUAAACCUUCUUAUAAAAGAACGGAGAUACACCAAGGCUUUGCUUCAAAACAAACAUUCCUUGUUUUGAUCCCUGUCGGUAUACCCAGACGCAUGAGAGACAGAAAGAGAUUGGGAAGGGAAGGAAAGACGAAGACCGAGAGGGUUGUCCCCCAACCUAGUGUACCCCACCCACUCUGGGUCUCUGAGGACGAAGGGGGUGGGGGUGGGUGGUGCGC